rnacentral:rRNA from 1 species
GACGAACGCUGGCGGCGUGCUUAACACAUGCAAGUCGAACGGAAAGGCCCUGCUUUUGUGGGGUGCUCGAGUGGCGAACGGGUGAGUAACACGUGAGUAACCUGCCCUUGACUUUGGGAUAACUUCAGGAAACUGGGGCUAAUACCGGAUAGGAGCUCCUGCUGCAUGGUGGGGGUUGGAAAGUUUCGGCGGUUGGGGAUGGACUCGCGGCUUAUCAGCUUGUUGGUGGGGUAGGGGCUUACCAAGGCUUUGACGGGUAGCCGGCCUGGGAGGGUGCCAGGGCCCAUGGGCCUACGGGAGGCAGCCGUGGCGAUUAGGGGGCAAUGGGGGGGAGAUUUUGCCAGCGGGGCCGGGUGCGUGAGGAAGACCGCCGGGUGGGAAAGCCCGGUUGUGGGGUAGUAAACGCUUUUCGCUAGGACCGAGGGGUGAUGACGGUACCGGAAUAAUAAGCACCGGCUAACUUCGUG